AGAGUUUGAUCAUGGCUCAGGACGAACGCUGGCGGUGCGCCUUAUGCAUGCAAGUCGAGCGAAGCUUUUCAGUAGUUUACUACAGAAAAUGACUGAGCGGCGAACGGGUGAGUAACGCGUGAGCAAUCUACCUUAGUUACAGGGAUAGCCCGAGGAAACUCGGAUUAAUACCUGAUAUUCUUUAUUUCUCGCAUGAGAAUAAAAGGAAAGGUCAGCCGAACUAAGAUGAGCUCGCGUUCUAUCAGCUAGUUGGUGAGGUAAAAGCUUACCAAGGCUACGACGGAUAGCUGGUCUGAGAGGACGAUCAGCCACACUGGGACUGAGACACGGCCCAGACUCCUACGGGAGGCUGCAGCAGGGAAUAUUGUGCAAUGAACGAAAGUUUGACACAGCGACACCGCGUGUGGGAUGACGGAUCUAGGUUUGUAAACCACUUUCAGGAGGGAAGAAAAUGACGGUACCUCCAUAAGAAGCACCGGCUAACUCUGUGCCAGCAGCCGCGGUAAUACAGAGGGUGCUAGCGUUUAUCCGGAAUUACUGGGCGUAAAGAGUACGUAGGUGGUUAAAUCAGUCGGAUGUGAAAGCCCCAGGCUUAACUUGGGAAUUGCAUUCGAUACUGUUUGACUAGAGUACGGUAGAGAGAAGCGGAAUUCCUAGUGUAGCGGUGAAAUGCGUAGAUAUUAGGAAGAACACCAGUGGCGAAGGCGGCUUCUUGGAUCGAUACUGACACUGAGGUACGAAAGCGUGGGGAGCAAACAGGAUUAGAUACCCUGGUAGUCCACGCCCUAAACGAUGAGAACUAGAUGUUGGGGGAAUUUAUAAUCCUUUAGUAUCGUAGCUAACGCGAUAAGUUCUCCGCCUGGGGAGUACGGCCGCAAGGUUAAAACUCAAAUGAAUUGACGGGGGCCCGCACAAGCGGUGGAGCAUGUGGUUUAAUUCGAUGCAACGCGAAGAACCUUACCUGGCCUUGACAUCCUUGGAAUUUUGCAGAAACGUAAAAGUGCCCGUGUCGUGAGAUGUUGGGUUAAGUCCCGCAACGAGCGCAACCCUCGUCGUUAGUUGCUAACAGUUCGGCUGAGAACUCUAACGAGACUGCCUGGGUAACCAGGAGGAAGGUGAGGACGACGUCAAGUCAUCAUGGCCCUUACGUCCAGGGCUACACACGUGCUACAAUGGGGCAUACAAAGAGCCGCAAUACCGUGAGGUGGAGCAAAUCUCAAAAAUGCCUCCCAGUUCGGAUAGCACUCUGCAACUCGAGUGCUUGAAGUUGGAAUCGCUAGUAAUCGUAGAUCAGCAAUGCUACGGUGAAUACGUUCCCGGGUCUUGUACUCACCGCCCGUCACACCAUGGGAGUUGAACUCAUUCGAAGCGGGGAUGCUAAAGUAGCUACCCUUAAGGAAUUUAUUUCUUAAGAAGCCAGAGGCUACCCUCCACAGUGGAUUCAGCGACUGGGGUGAAGUCGUAACAAGGUA
rnacentral:rRNA from 1 species